CACGCGAGAUCCGGCUGAGAAUUCAGGUCACCCAAUAUUAAAAAACGGAUCCCUUAUAUUUUUUGAAAGGCUUUCUUGCUUCACACAAUUCCAUAUUUUCACAAACCCUAAAUCUAUAGCUCAUGUUUCUCUCUUCUUGUGACAAGCGAUUCCAAAACAAUCUAAACAAGGGUGUCUUGCACAUCAUCAAGAAGAAAUUCUUAGUGAUUUUCUACAAGUUCAGAUUAUGGCUGUUUAUUGGACAUCGAUUUGUUUUUUUUUCAUCAAUUGCAACAAGGUGUAACCGGUGGCGGCUUACAAAUAAGUUGAAGCUGAGAGGAUGGCAAUGGAAGAAGAUGAUAUAAAAGAGAUUGGUGAAGACGAGAAAGAGAAAUUGAAUGAUGUGGAUUAUCUGACAGGGGUUCCUUUACCAAACGACAUUCUUUUGAAUGCGGUGCCUGUUUGCACUCAUUAUGUUGUUGCACAAUCAUAUAAAUAUCGUGUGAAGAUAAUCCAUGGAAUAGUAAAGAAAGGAAAAAGCUGCAAAAAUGGUGAUGAAUUUGUUUGGUUACAUGCCGGAAGCAAGCCAAUGAGAGAAAGAGUUGAUUGAGGCAUGCACAGGCCCGAAGUUGAUGGUUGCGAUUACGGGAAACGUCAAGAUAUCUGCGGCAGGACUGACAGGAAAGUGAUGUGUUUCGGUAUCACAUAUGGGUUUUGUCUGGUUCGGUAUCACAUAUGGGUUUUGCCUAGGGAGUGUAUUGAAGAAGAAUUAAUUGAACUCGGGAAGUCGUUUGUUAAAGUUAUGAACAUACGUGUAAUGUUGGAGCGAACAGAAUUCAAGCCUUUGUUGAUUUGAAGCUAGAAUAGAGAGAGAAGGACACGAUGAGAGAUAGAGAGAUCAGGAUCCUUACCUGGAGUCGAUUGGUCAUAACUUUCGGCCGUCUGAUAGGGUUAUUGCGGUACAAGUCGCCGGACAUGGAGCAGAAGAGGGUUGAGGCAAAGAAGUAUUUUCUGUAUCAGUUACUACGCAUGCUUAAAUACAUCCACUCAGCAAACGUGUUACACCGCAAUUAAAACCAAGCAACUCACUCCUUGAUGCAAAUUGUGACCUAAAGAUAUGUGACUUUGGGCUUGCUAGAACUACAUCUGAAACAAAUUUCAUGACCGAAUAUGUUGUAACCAGAUGGUAUGCGGCCAUUGAUAUCUGGUCAGUUGGCUGCAUUUUGAUGGAACCACUUUUUCCUGGGAAAGAUUAUGUUCAGCAGUUAUCUCUUAUAACUCAGAUAGAACACGACUUUGGAUCUUUGACUAUGUGAGUUUGGGUCAAAUGACCCGUGUGCUUGGACAUGCAAAGGUUCUCAAAAACACCAUUCUAUGCUCAGAUUGGCAAAGAGGCAUUGGCGGAUUCAUUAACAAAGGAGGUGGGCAGUGUUAUCUCUAUAAAUUUAUGUUUAACUGGUCCUAGAUGAUGCGGCUAUCAGGAAGGCAACUGACAAGUCAAGAUAAAGUGAGAGUGAUAAACCACCUGACUGGGUCGAAUGGAGAGAAGCGGUUGAAGCAGGUUCAUCAGUUAUAACCACCGAGUUUGCUGAAACAUCUCACGCUGUAGCUGAUAGCCUCUCCAAAGGUGAUCUUGAAGUUGAUCCAUCAGAUGAUAUUGCUACUGAUCCUCCAAACAAAGUGGAGGCUACUAAUGUCAUAUAGAUAUAGAUGAGAUAAAAGAGAGUAAUUACUAGUGGAAGGCGAAAAGAUACAAGGUUGCAACCUUAAGCCUGGAAGAUUGGAGCAAGUUUGAGAAAAUCACCUGCUGAUCAGCCAUGUCUAAAAUCCUUCUUUGUUUAUAUAUUUUCAGUUAACAAUCUUGGAAUGUAGCAAUUUAUUUUUUUCAUUUUCGCAUUCAGACACAAGGGUGAGAACUGUGGCUAUAGGUCGCAACACUGACCAAAUCAGUGACGUUAGAUGCUGGAUAGGCGUAUUAAACAUCCAAAGAAGUUAUUCAUGGCAAAUUGGGUAGGAUGGUCCCACCUCCAGUGGCGGUGACGAUGUAAGUGGCCAACACUAUUCAGUUUGGCUAUUCGGAAUCUGCUUUUUUGGCUAUUCAGAAGUGCAUCAGCAUUGAGAUUCUAAUGAAGGUAUUGGCUUUCUCUCUAUUCUGUCUUAAAAAAAUCACUCACAAUGAUUGUAAAAAAGUAUGGUAUGUUGUGUGAAGGUAAAGAGAAUUGGUGAAUAUUUUAGUGCUAAGACCACCCAUAGUGGUGAAACUUUCCGGCGUGAUCCCCCUCAAACACGCCCAAUAAUGUCGCCGCCCCACCCCCGCCGGCGUGAUCCGGCGUGAUCUUGCGGAAAUCCACCCUCCAGCGUUAUUUAAAACACGCUCAAAUGGGUUUUGGGUGGCCAAUCAGAUGUAUCCCACUAUUUGUUGACCAAUCCCCUUUUUUGUUAGUUUUUUGUUUUAUUUAAUUCUUUAAACCCCUUUUUAACAUAAUACACACAUCCCCACUACAUCCAUUUUAGAAAAACGCCCAACAAUGCCCCUUGCUGACUGGACUGCCACAUGGCGGAAAACGCCCAAGGGUGGGGGCAUUAUUCACCCUUACCACUACGCAUGGUCUAAUUAUGCUUAGAUAUAAGGGAAGUUUGUUAGGGUUCUUUUUGUUUUGUUUCAAAAACUGAAGACGGUAAACUGGACAAUGUUAAUCGAGAGCAAACAAUACUUUCGAUUUCACUAUACUGCUGUUAGGUUAAGAUGAUGGUUGAUAAAAUGUUGUAUUGGACAUGAAUUGGAGUGUUUAUCGAGUUCUUUAAAUAAAAAAAAAUUGUUCAGCCUUUUAUAAAUGUAAUUUAAAUAAAACAAACUAUGAAAAUCGAUUGAUUUUUAACCUUUUUAUGGUAUUGUGUAUGUUUAUGUUACAAAGAAAGAUGAGACUUUUUGCUUUAUGAUGGCUUGAUGGAGCUGUGCAAUGAUAUAAGUUCCAAAUAACAAUUGUAUCUUUUAAAUUACACUGUAUAUACACAUUAGUUUUCUAAUGUUUUUAAGAAUUAAAACUGAAUGGAGGAAGUUCAGGGGCUGUUUUGUA